rnacentral:rRNA from 1 species
AGAAUUUGAUCCUGGCUCAGAACGAACGCUGGCGGCGUGCCUAACACAUGCAAGUCAAACGUGAAAGGGUGCUUCGGCACCUGAGUAAAGUGGCGAACGCGUGCAUAACACGUAAGGAAUCUGCCUCAGACUCUGGGAUAACGUCUCGCAAGGGGUGCUAAUACCGGAUAAGCCCUCUGGGUGAUGCCCGGCGGGGAAAGGUGCGCCGGUCGGAGAUCAGCUUGCGGCCCAUUAGCUUGUUGGCGGGGUAAUGGCCCACCACGGCGACGAUGGGUAGCUGGUCUGAGAGGAUGAUCAGCCAUACUAGCACUGAGACACGGGCCAGACUCCUACGGGAGGCAGCAGUGGCCAAUUUUGCGCAAUGGGCGAAAGCCUGACGCAGCAACGCCGCGUGAAGGAUGAAGGCUCUCGAGUCGUAAACGCUUGUCUGGGGGAAAGAUGAUGACGGUACCCCCAAAGCAAGCCCCGGCUAAUUCCGUGCCAGCAGCCGCGGUAAUACGGAAGGGGCGAGCGUUGUUCGAAAUUAUUGGGCGUAAAGGGCGUGUAGGCGGCGUCAUAAGUCUGAGGUGAAAUCAUGCAGCUCAACUGCAAUGAGCCUUAGA